UUGGGGAGGUACGACAGACACCGGAGGCAGUCGGCCGUUGUAGAAAUCCAGCUGCUGGAGCCCGUCUGUUGUAGAAGUUCAUUCGGAAUCCAUCCGCUAUGGAAGUUUAGACAUAGUUUGGUUCUUGUAGAAGGCUAAAAGGAGGCCGCUUAUUGUAGAAUCUUGGUUGAAGAUCGGUUGUCAUGGAAGCUCAGAGUAGUGAC
rnacentral:lncRNA from 1 species